CCAUGGAGACAGCCAAUGGGAAAGAAGUUCCUGAGUGGGAGGCAGUACAGCAGGGAGAGGUGAGAAUGCGCCUCCAGGAACCAGGACUGGAAAUUCCCACUCUGCUGAGGAAUGCAGAGGCAUUCCUGGAGCUGCACAGAAGUACAUUGUCGAAGCCGGGAUGUCCCUGGGGAAACAUAGUCUCCCUCUGGCUUUCUCUGCUGGGAUCUGGGUGGUAGAAGCAGCAGGAGGAUCAACGAACAGGCUGAGCGCCAAGAAGCCUGAAGAUUCCAGAAUCUAGCGGGAAAAGCAUUCAGAGUCAGAAUGAGGCACCACGCCAGCCUAUGAGCAGCCGCAGGGGUUGAGCCCUGCAGAGCCCCAGAGGCAGAGCUGCCCAAGGCUUUGGGAGCCCACCCCUUGCAUCACUGUGCCCUGGAUGUGAGACGUGGAAUCGAGGAGAUUAUUUUGGAGCUUUAAGAGGUUCAUAGGUGGAAGGGACUAACUAGCCUUGUCUCAGAUGAGACUUUGGACUGUGGACUUUUGAGCUAAUGCUGGAAUGAGUUAAGACUUCGGGGAAGGAACUGUUGAGAAGGCAUGAUUGGAUUUUGCAAUGUGAGAAGGACAUGAGAUUUGGGAGCGGCCGGGGUGGAAUGAUACAGUUUGGAUCUGUAUGGAUCUGUGUCUCCAUCCACAUCUCAUGUCAAACUGUAAUCCUCAGUGUUGGCGGAGGAGCCUGGUGGGAGGCGAUUGGAUCAUGGGGGCAGGUUCUCAUGAAUGCGUUAGCGCCGUCUCCCCAGUGCGGCUCUCAUGAUAGAGUUCUCACAAGAUCUGCUUGUCUAAAAGUGUGUAGCACCUCCUCCCCCUCUCUCUCUUCCUCCUGCUCUGGCAUGUAAGACGUGCCCGUGUCCCCUUCCUCCACCACAAGAUUGUAAGUUUUCUGGAGCCUCCCCAGAAGCUGAGAAGAAGCUGCUAUGCUUCCUGUUCAGCCUGCAGAACCGUGAGCCAAUUAAACCUCUUUUCUUUAUAAAGUACCCAGUCUCAGGUAGUUCUUUAUAGAAGUAUGAGAAUGAACUAAUAAACCUGGUCUUAAGCCCCACCCUGAUCAAGACCCUCCCUGCCUGGACCCUCCUUAGCGCCCACUGGUCUACGGCAGUCCACUCUUGCAGCACCUUUGGGGGCUCUUGCUUUCCUCCCUUAUCAAGCCUAGCCUGUCCCCAGCUGGGUUAUGCUGCCAUGUAAUCCUACUUAUUGGCUUUGCAGCCAGGAAAGGAGAUGGGGGCAGGUCCUGCGGGGGGCCCUGCUAUCGUGUAGGGGAGAGACCUCUACAGGGUGGGGAAAGGGCUGACUCUUGAGAGAAGUGGCAAUCCCUGCCAGCACUGAGGGCUCAGAGGGGUCUUGGGAACCAAAGUCAUCAGGGGCAUCCACCACCUGGGUCUUCCCACCAUCAGAGCAAUUUCCCAAGUCAGCAUCACUGAAAGUAUAGCAACUGGGUUGCUGUGUCAUCCUAGGCACCCUCUGUGCCUCCCAGACCACCUGGGAUGGAGCCCUCAUGCUAGCUGAUCAAGGUGCCACGCCCUCUCUUUAUUGCUUUCUCAGGCCACUUCCAGCAUCGAUGGUGUCAGGUCAGGUCCUCUGGGUAGAAGAAAUGGAGUCAGUUAGGAGUGCUGGAGACUGAGUAAGAGGUGGCAGCUGAGGCUUACUACCCCAGGAAAGGGAUGCCACCAGAGAAGGCAGACAACCAAGAUGGCGACUCUCAAUUUUUGAGCUCCUAAUUUUCUCAUGUCAGACAUAAGAAAAAAAAUAUUUUUUAAAGAAAAAGCUUUAGGUUGCAAAAAUCUAGGCCUUUCAACUUUAAAAUCCUAUUCUUGCAAGCCUUGGAGAAUAAAGCUUAUGCAUAAACAGUAGAUUUGGAAACAGAAAUAUGCCUAAUUACCCAGAGCCAUUCUUUCAAUACGCCAGUGAUUGUUUAAAGAUUCUAUAGGCUGGAGUCAAUGGCAGGAGGCGGGUGGGAAAAGAGUCAAGAGGGAGGAGAGAAGAAGCAAGAGGGUUGGGUAGAUAUUGUCACAUGACCCUGAGAGGAGGAUUCUGGGUCAAACCUCUAGGGGGUUGUGUGUAAUGGAGACUCCAGAUCCAUUUGGGAAUCUGGGUCCAAAGAAGACUUCACCUUGCCUUCUGAGUGGAGCCCUGAAGUGGCAAGACUCAUAGAAUUCCCCCACGGGUCCACACGAGAGAGAAUGAAUAGAGAAGGCUGCGUGCUGGCUGGACCAAGGCAGCCUCGGGUGACACUGCCACCACCACCACCACUGCUGCCGCUGCCGCCAUCGCCAUCACCACUGCUGCUGCCAUCGCCGCCACCACCACCACCAUCACCACCACCACCACCACCACCAACCACCACCACCACCACCACCACCACCACCACCAC